GCGCCUGUAGCUCAGUGGAUAGAGCGUUGGGUUCCGGACCCAAAGGUCGCAGGUUCGAGUCCUGUCGGGCGCGCCA
rnacentral:tRNA from 3 species